rnacentral:rRNA from 1 species
UGGGGAAUAUUGGACAAUGGGCGAAAGCCUGAUCCAGCCAUGCCGCGUAUGUGAAGAAGGUCUUCGGAUUGUAAAGCACUUUAAGUUGGGAGGAAGGGCAGUAAGCGAAUACCUUGCUGUUUUGACGUUACCGACAGAAUAAGCACCGGCUAACUCUGUGCCAGCAGCCGCGGUAAUACAGAGGGUGCAAGCGUUAAUCGGAAUUACUGGGCGUAAAGCGCGCGUAGGUGGUUCGUUAAGUUGAAUGUGAAAGCCCCGGGCUCAACCUGGGAACUGCAUCCAAAACUGGCGAGCUAGAGUAGGGCAGAGGGUGGUGGAAUUUCCUGUGUAGCGGUGAAAUGCGUAGAUAUAGGAAGGAACACAAGUGGCGAAGGCGACCACCUGGGCUCAUACUGACACUGAGGUGCGAAAGCGUGGGGAGCAAACAGG